CUGCUGCCUUCCGUAGGAGUUGUCCGUGUCUCAGUACCAAUGUGGGGGUUAACCGUCUCAGUCCCCCUACUGUAUCGUCGCCUUGGUGAGCCGUUACCUCACCAACCAGCUAAUACAACGCAUGCCCAUCAUCAACCACCGGAGUUUUCAACCCCAUGCGAUGCCGCAUGAGAUAUUAUGGGGUAUUAGUACCAAUUUCUCAGUGUUAUCCCCCUGUUGAUGGUAGGUUGCAUACGCGUUACGCACCCGUGCCGG
rnacentral:rRNA from 1 species